rnacentral:rRNA from 1 species
GACGAACGCUGGCGGCAUGCCUAACACAUGCAAGUCGAACGGGGUAUGAUAGCAGAAGACUACGGUUGGAAGCUAGAAAUACCAAGUGGCGGACGGGUGAGUAACGCGUGGGUAACGCACCUUUCAGUGGGGAAUAACCGUGAGAAAUCACAGCUAAUACCGCAUAAGGUUCAAUCAUCGCAUGAUGAAAGAAAGAAAGGUGGCAGAGCAGAGCAGCUGCCGCUGAAAGAGCGACCCGCGUCUGAUUAGCUAGUUGGUGAGAUAACAGCCCACCAAGGCAACGAUCAGUAGCCGGCCUGAGAGGGUGAACGGCCACAUUGGAACUGAGACACGGUCCAAACUCCUACGGGAGGCAGCAGUGGGGAAUCUUCCGCAAUGGGCGAAAGCCUGACGGAGCAAUGCCGCGUGAACGAAGAAGGUCUUCGGAUUGUAAAGUUCUGUCCUAGCCGAAGAGAGGUCAUGAGAGUAACUGCCCAUGAUAGGACGGUAGGCUAGGAGGAAGCCCCGGCUAACUACGUGCCAGCAGCCGCGGUAAAACGUAGGGGGCAAGCGUUGUCCGGAAUCACUGGGCGUAAAGGGCGCGUAGGCGGCAAUAUAAGUCAGGUGUGAAAAGUCAGGGCUCAACCUUGACCCUGCACCUGAUACUGUAUAGCUUGAGGAUGAGAGAGGGAAGCGGAAUUCCUAGUGUAGCGGUGAAAUGCGUAGAUAUUAGGAAGAACACCAGUGGCGAAGGCGGCUUUCUGGCUCAUAACUGACGCUGAGGCGCGAAAGCGUGGGGAGCAAACAGGAUUAGAUACCCUGGUAGUCCACGCCGUAAACGAUGGGUACUAGGUGUUAGGAGUUUCGAUGCUCUUAGUGCCGGAGUAAACACAAUAAGUACCCCGCCUGGGGAGUACGGUCGCAAGACUGAAACUCAAAGGAAUUGACGGGGGCCCGCACAAGCGGUGGAGCAUGUGGUUUAAUUCGACGCAACGCGAAGAACCUUACCAAGACUUGACAUCCCUCUGACCGGUGUUGUAAUGACGCUUUUCCUUCGGGACAGAGGAGACAGGUGGUGCAUGGUUGUCGUCAGCUCGUGUCGUGAGAUGUUGGGUUAAGUCCCGCAACGAGCGCAACCCCUAUUGUUAGUUGCCAGCAAGAGAGAUGGGCACUCUAACGAGACUGCCAGUGAGAAACUGGAGGAAGGUGGGGAUGACGUCAAAUCAUCAUGCCCCUUAUGUCUUGGGCUACACACGUGCUACAAUGGGUGGUACAAAGGGCAGCGAAACCGCGAGGUAGAGCGAAUCCCCCAAAGCCACUCCCAGUUCGGAUUGCAGGCUGCAACCCGCCUGCAUGAAGUCGGAAUCGCUAGUAAUCGCAGGUCAGCAUACUGCGGUGAAUACGUUCCCGGGCC